GUGAAUCAUCGAAUCUUUGAACGCACAUUGCGCCCGCCAGUAUUCUGGCGGGCAUGCCUGUCCGAGCGUCAUUUCAACCCCUCAAGCCCCGCUUGGUGUUGGGGCCCCUACGUGCGCCGUAGGCCCCGAAUUCCAGUGGCGGGCUCGCCGCGAUCCCGAGCGUAGUAGCUUUUGCCUCGCUCAGGGCCCGCGGCGGGCGCCUGCCGUGAAAAGAACCACAAACACACAAGGUUGACCUCGGAUCAGGUAGGAAUACCCGCUGAACUUAAGCAUAUCAAUAAGCGGAGGA
rnacentral:misc_RNA from 1 species